UAUGACCAAAAUGGUCAUGGCUAUAUUUUUUUUUUAUGACCAAAAUGGCCAUGGCUUAAAGAGAGAGAGAACUGAAGAGAAAGCCAUGGUAUUCUAGUCUCUCUUUAUACCGAAAGUUCAUCCCUCUUUCUCUACAAUUUCAGAGGUGUUGUAAGGUCACCAUGAAACAAGCCACUUUUGAGUGUAUGGCGAGAUUGUUGAUAUGAGAUGAGUGUACAGGGAAAUCUAAAGGUUUUGUGUUUCUUUCAUAGGAAGAUCAGAGGAGUACAAUCCUUGCAGUAGAUAAUUUUAAUGGAGCUAAGAUCCUUGGGCGGAUCAUAAGGGUUGAUCAUGUGGCUCACUAUAAAAGCAGACAAGAAAACAAAGAGGAAGAGGGUCUUAAAAGAGAGGCACGGAAUCUUUGCCGUGCUUAUCAGAGAGGCAAUUGUAAUCGUGGAGCUGCAUGCAAAUUUUUGCAUAGUGAACAUAUGCCGAUACAAACUGGGGCAACAAAGAAGGUGGUUAAAGAUGGGGACAUGAGGACCUGUUGAAGAGCCUGAAGGGACAUGUUCAGAAAUCAGAAGCAAAGCCACAUGAUGUGGUGCUUUCAAGAUUCUCUCACAAGGAUGACAAUAGAUCCCGAAGUCAUGAAAACCAUGGAAUUUGGAUACACGUUGAGAUUGUGGAACCUCUGGAGGUUCUAGAUAAUCAAGGGAAAACCAAAUAACGAAGAUUAUAAGACGUGGUUGAUUAAUUGUAAAAGUUUUGUGGUGACCUCUAUCUUUGGUCCACCUCAUUUUAAUUUCCUCCUAUCCCAUCAUCUAAAGCAGGUUAGGAGAUUUUCUUUGUUGGAAAAUCUCAGCUAACGAAAAG